UGCGCAGGUCGCCUUAUCGUUCCAGUAUUUACAGGAAAGGAAAGUCCGGACACCACAGGAUAGCAUAACGGUUAAUGGCCGUCGUUGUUGUUAUUCUUUCGCGAAAGCGUAAUCGUAAUAGCAAUAGGACUAGUGCAACAGAAAGUAUGUACAGAUAAUGCUGUAGUGAAAUCAGGUAAACUCUAUGCGGUGCAAUGUCAUGUAGGUCAGAGUUUGAGCGUUAUCCGCGCGAUUUUGAUGGGUAGGCAGAUAGAGGUAAGUAGUAAUACUUAUCCCAGAUAAAUGAUAAGGGUCUCAAUAAAGAGAUACAGAAUCCGGCUUAUAGACCUGCUUUUUUA
rfam:Nonlabens sediminis DNA, contig: contig00006, strain: JCM 19294.